GACGAACGCUGGCGGCGUGCCUAAUACAUGCAAGUCGAGCGCAGGAAGCUCACGGAACUCUUCGGAGGGAAGUGAAGGGAAUGAGCGGCGGACGGGUGAGUAACACGUAAGGAACCUGCCCCAAGGAUUGGGAUAACUCCGAGAAAUCGGAGCUAAUACCGAAUAGUUCUUCAGACCGCAUGGUCUGUGAUGAUGAAAGGCGCUUCGGCGUCACCUUGGGAUGGCCUUGCGGUGCAUUAGCUAGUUGGUGGGGUAAUGGCCCACCAAGGCGACGAAGCAUAGCCGACCUGGGAGGUUGAUCGGGCACACUGGGACUGAGACACGGCCCAGACUCCUAGGGGAGGCAGCAGUAGGGAAUGUUGCACAAUGGACGAAAGUCUGAUGGAGCAACGCCGCGUGAGUGAUGAAGGUUUUCGGAUCGUAAAACUCUGUUGUAAGGGAAGAACAGGUAUGAGAGGUAAUGCUCAUGCUAUGACGGUACCUUACGAGAAAGCCACGGCUAACUACGUGCCAGCAGCCGCAGUAAAAC
rnacentral:rRNA from 1 species